CUACGUGCCAGCAGCCGCGGUAAUACGGAGGAUGCGAGCGUUAUCCGGAUUUAUUGGGUUUAAAGGGUGCGUAGGCGGCCUGUUAAGUCAGCGGUGAAAUCUAGGAGCUUAACUCCUAAAUUGCCAUUGAUACUGGUGGGCUUGAGUGUAGAUGAGGUAGGCGGAAUGCGUGGUGUAGCGGUGGAAUGCAUAGAUAUCACGCAGAACUCCGAUUGCGAAGGCAGCUUACUAAGGUACAACUGACGCUGAAGCACGAAAGCGUGGGUAUCAAACAGGAUUAGAUACCCUGGUAGUCCACGCAGUAAACGAUGAUAACUGGGCGUAUGCGAUAUACAGUAUGCUCCUAAGCGAAAGCGUUAAGUUAUCCACCUGGGGAGUACGCCGGCAACGGUGAAACUCAAAGGAAUUGACGGGGGCCCGCACAAGCGGAGGAACAUGUGGUUUAAUUCGAUGAUACGCGAGGAACCUUACCCGGGAUUGAA
rnacentral:rRNA from 1 species